GGGACACGUGGUAUCCUGUCUGAAUAUGGGGGGACCAUCCUCCAAGGCUAAAUACUCCUGACUGACCGAUAGUGAACCAGUACCGUGAGGGAAAGGCGAAAAGAACCCCGGCGAGGGGAGUGAAAAAGAACCUGAAACCGUGUACGUACAAGCAGUGGGAGCCUCUUAAUGGGGUGACUGCGUACCUUUUGUAUAAUGGGUCAGCGACUUAUAUUCUGUAGCAAGGUUAACCGAAUAGGGGAGCCGAAGGGAAACCGAGUCUUAACUGGGCGUUAAGUUGCAGGGUAUAGACCCGAAACCCGGUGAUCUAGCCAUGGGCAGGUUGAAGGUUGGGUAACACUAACUGGAGGACCGAACCGACUAAUGUUGAAAAAUUAGCGGAUGACUUGUGGCUGGGGGUGAAAGGCCAAUCAAACCGGGAGAUAGCUGGUUCUCCCCGAAAGCUAUUUAGGUAGCGCCUCGUGAAUUCAUCUCCGGGGGUAGAGCACUGUUUCGGCAAGGGGGUCAUCCCGACUUACCAACCCGAUGCAAACUGCGAAUACCGGAGAAUGUUAUCACGGGAGACACACGGCGGGUGCUAACGUCCGUCGUGAAGAGGGAAACAACCCAGACCGCCAGCUAAGGUCCCAAAGUCAUGGUUAAGUGGGAAACGAUGUGGGAAGGCCCAGACAGCCAGGAUGUUGGCUUAGAAGCAGCCAUCAUUUAAAGAAAGCGUAAUAGCUCACUGGUCGAGUCGGCCUGCGCGGAAGAUGUAACGGGGCUAAACCAUGCACCGAAGCUGCGGCAGCGACACUAUGUGUUGUUGGGUAGGGGAGCGUUCUGUAAGCCUGCGA
rnacentral:rRNA from 1 species